CCAGGCACAAACAGAUUAUGAGGCAGAUAUCCCGUAAGCACAGACAUCUGGCACAAGCAGAUUGUCACGUGGGCUUGGUCGCACAGGAACAGGUGCAGGGCCAUAGGCACACAAGAAGGGGUGUGCGGCUACAGGCUCCCAACAGGCAAGGGCAGGGAUAGAUUGCCACCUUACAGACAGGGCUAAAAGGCCAGAUGACUAGGUGAAACUGCAGACAGGGAAAUCAGUUAGAAGUUUUGACAAUAUUCCAGGUAAAUAAGCCCUUGAACCAAAAGCAUUGGUUGCCAGGGGGUGCAGGGAGGGACAGGAGGAAGGUGAGGAUGUUUUCCAGCUCUGGGCUCUCUCUCCAUUCCCUAAUCGAUGCUUGCUUUUUUCUCUCCUAGCCACGAGUGGCAGCGCUGACCCCACGUACCAGGCAGGUGACUGCCCACGGGCUGUUUGAAGGACACGGGAGACCCAGUAACCUAACAGGCUGCCUUCUGCAGGGGUCCACCAUUCAAAUCUUAGCCAACUGUGAGGAAAGGCUGUAAGAGGAGUUUGGAGAUGGACUGUCACAGUUCUGGAGGACCAGACGCUCAGGAACUCCGGGAAAUAGAGGAGGCCACACUGCCCAGGAAGGACUGGCUGCUGGGGUAGGCAGGGAGUCUCCGUUCAGAAGUAAUUCCUGCCCUUUGGCCCCCAGGAAGUUUCCUUUCGCUCUGAGGCAGGAUCAAGUUUCUCAACUUCUCCUUAUGCGCAUGGAUUCCCAGACGCAGAUUGGUAGAUCCUCCAGGUAGAUCCUGGGCAAACCAGGAGAGGGCACGUGAUGGAGCAUCUCAAGAAGCGGACGCUGAAAAGGUGGCUCGGGAAGACUCGGGGCUCGUCGGGGCAGCUCUGGGACCCUCAGAGCUCCCGGAGCUGACGGACCAAAAAAGCAGGAGCAACGUGAGCGGCUCCCACGUGCCACCGCACACCUAAGCGUUCGCCAAUGACAGAGCCAAGCCCGAGCGCAAUUUUUCUCCUUGGGAGAGGUCCGGGGACGGUCUUCAAGGCUGGAGGGUCGAGGCUCGCUCUGCCGCUCCCAGCUUGGGAGGUCUCUCCUGGCCCUGUUAGGCCCGGCACACGCGCUGGCUGGAUAGUCCGCGACCAGUCAAUGAGAAGUGCAAACGCUGUUUGCUUUUCGUUGCUGAUUGUUAAGUAAACUGCUAGUAAGCCUAUUGAACGUCAA